UUUAUCUGGUAAAGCGAAUGAUUAGAGGUGUUGGGGCCGAAACGAUCUCAACCUAUUCUCAAACUUUAAAUGGGUAAGAAGCCCGACUCGCUGGCUUGGAGCCGGGCGUGGAAUGCGAGCGCCCAGUGGGCCACUUUUGGUAAGCAGAACUGGCGCUGCGGGAUGAACCGAACGCCGGGUUAAGGCGCCCGAUGCCGACGCUCAUCAGACCCCAGAAAAGGUGUUGGUUGAUAUAGACAGCAGGACGGUGGCCAUG
rnacentral:rRNA from 1 species